rnacentral:rRNA from 1 species
GAUGAACGCUGGCGGCGUGCCUAAUACAUGCAAGUCGAGCGAACAGACGAUGAUCUUGCUCCUCUGACGUUAGCGGCUGACGGGUGAGUAACACGUGGAUAACCUACCUAUUAUUCUGGGAUAACUUCGGGAAACCGGAGCUAAUACCGGAUAAUAUAUUGAACCGCAUGGUUCAAUAGUGAAAGACGGUUUUGCUGUCUCUUAUAGAUGGUUCCGCGCCGCAUUAGCUAGUUGGUAAGGUAACGGCUUACCAAGGCAACGAUGCGUAGCCGACCUGAGAGGGUGAUCGGGCACACUGGAACUGAGACACGGUCCAGACGACUACGGGAGGCAGCAGAAGGGAAUAUUGCGCAAUGGGCGAAAGCAUGACGGAGCAACGCCGCGUGAGUGAUGAAGGUCUUCGGACCGUAAAACUCUGUUAUUAGGGAAGAACAAAAGUGUAAGUAAAUAUGCACGUAUUGACGGUACCGAAAAAGAAAGCAACGGCUAACUACGUG